UACGGGGGGGGGCAAGCGUUGUUCGGAAUUACUGGGCGUAAAGGGCUCGUAGGUGGCCAACUAAGUCAGACGUGAAAUCCCUCGGCUUAACCGGGGAACUGCGUCUGAUACUGGAUGGCUUGAGUUCGGGAGAGGGAUGCGGAAUUCCAGGGUGUAGCGGUGAAAUGCGUAGAUAUCUGGAGGAACACGGUGGCGAAGGCG
rnacentral:rRNA from 1 species